rnacentral:lncRNA from 1 species
CUUUUUCAGACCUUAACAAAUGCCUCAAAAUUACUAAAACAAGAUUUACUAUUGGCUCCUUCAUGCCUGUCUCAGAACAAACACAAUCUGCAUUCAGAACAGGACCGUUUACAAGUUCAAUGGAGUUAUUUUGGAAGAAACCAAGAAUCUCAUCAAUGACCACUGAGGAAUAAACUAUAAAACAGCUAAGGAAUUCCAAAGGAUUCACCAGAAGAAAAGAAUUAUUC